AGAGUUUGAUCCUGGCUCAGGAUGAACGCUGGCGGCGUGCUUAACACAUGCAAGUCGAACGGGAAACCUUUUAUUGAAGCUUCGGCAGAUUUAGCUGGUUUCUAGUGGCGGACGGGUGAGUAACGCGUGGGUAACCUGCCUUAUACAGGGGGAUAACAACCAGAAAUGGUUGCUAAUACCGCAUAAGCGCACAGGACCGCAUGGUCUAGUGUGAAAAACUCCGGUGGUAUAAGGUGGACCCGCGUUGGAUUAGCUAGUUGGCAGGGUAACGGCCUACCAAGGCGACGAUCCAUAGCCGGCCUGAGAGGGUGAACGGCCACAUUGGGACUGAGACACGGCCCAGACUCCUACGGGAGGCAGCAGUGGGGAAUAUUGCACAAUGGGGGAAACCCUGAUGCAGCGACGCCGCGUGAAGGAAGAAGUAUCUCGGUAUGUAAACUUCUAUCAGCAGGGAAGAUAGUGACGGUACCUGACUAAGAAGCCCCGGCUAACUACGUGCCAGCAGCCGCGGUAAUACGUAGGGGGCAAGCGUUAUCCGGAUUUACUGGGUGUAAAGGGAGCGUAGACGGACUGGCAAGUCUGAUGUGAAAGGCGGGGGCUCAACCCCUGGACUGCAUUGGAAACUGUUAGUCUUGAGUGCCGGAGAGGUAAGCGGAAUUCCUAGUGUAGCGGUGAAAUGCGUAGAUAUUAGGAGGAACACCAGUGGCGAAGGCGGCUUACUGGACGGUAACUGACGUUGAGGCUCGAAAGCGUGGGGAGCAAACAGGAUUAGAUACCCUGAUAGUCCACGCCGUAAACGAUGA
rnacentral:rRNA from 1 species